rnacentral:misc_RNA from 1 species
CAAUAAGUGUUCAAUGGCACUUUAAAAUCCAUUACCCACCUUGUGUGCAAUGUAAGGAGGAGGGGGUGUCACAACCCCCUCUUUCAUUAUACAUACCAAUCUUCUCUUGUUGUCUAACUUUUUGAGUAUAAAAAAACUCGAAUA